CCAUAUCAUGUGAAAUAUAGCUCAAAUUCUGAUAUGUCACCUCUGUUUUCCCUUUCUGUCUUUGAAGUGAUACACUGUAUUGGUGAAAAUUGACAAAUGUUGAUAAAAUCAGUGAAUACUUUUUGGUGAUUGGAUGAGAAUUGUUGUUAAAAACAGUGGGGACUGUUGAUUGGAUGGCAAUUGUUGAUGACAUGAUAUUUUUGAAGUUGAUCUGGUUAGGGGGAGCUGCAUAUGUCAUGCCACACAAGAGUAUUUUUCUUGUUUUAGCAAGAGAAACCACUGGAUAUUACUUAGAUUUUUAGUAACUGGUUAUACCAGCUAGCCUUCUGUUCUGCUGUUUGUCAAGCAUUGGGGAAUAUACAUCCAUAUUUGUCAUUUAUGAUAUUUUCUUUAUGUAUAUCACAUAAAUUCUAUCACUCUAGUAAAGACACAUCUCCACUUAUGUUUUCCAGUGUAAGAUGAAAGAUUGGGUAGAUCCUAUUAUACAAUUUGAACCUUAGUAUCUAUUGCAUAGUUUAAAAUAUUCAUAUAUACCUAUGUUUAAUGUACAAGAGCAUAUGGAAAUUACAAACUGAUCGAUUUUGCUUUCAUUACUAUGAGUGGUAGCUCAGCUUUGAGAAUGUUGCAGGGCAGAGUGUUUCUCUUAGGAAAAAAGGUUGUUGUGGCAAAGAAAGGGAAAGGGAAAAAGAAGGGCAAAGACAGUGAAAAAGCAACUGAAGGUCCUGAAAAACAGAAGCGUAAAAGAGCGCCUAACAAGAAAUCAGGUAACGUCGCACGUAAACCUGAGAAGAAGCCUGAGGAUUGUUUCAAAAAGAAGUCAAUAUUCUUUGAUUUGGAAUACUGGGAGUACAACAAGUUAAGGCAAAAUCUAGAUGUAAUGCAUAUUGAGAAAAAACAUCUGUCAAAAUUUAAUUGGAACCUUAUUGGAUAUUGAUUCUAAAACAAAGGAUGGCCUUAAUGCACGACUUGACUUGGGAGAAAUUAGAAUUCGAUCUAGCCUUCAACCUGAUGAAGGUGAUAAGGAUAAAACUAAAUUGCCGCAUGCACCUUUUAAUAUGUAUAAAGAAAAGAAGGAGAUUCUUUGUACAGUGAUUAAGAAUUGUAGGACACCUGAUGGUUAUGCAUCAAACUUUUCGAGGUGUGUGAACAUGAAAGAAUUAACAUUGACUGGCCACAAAAUCCACGACUGUCAUGUUAUUCUAGAAGACAUCCUUCCUGUGGCACUUUUAAACUGUUAUCCCAGUAAAGAUGUCAUGAUAAUAGUUCUUGAGCUGGCUAAUUUCUUCAAGAAGCUAUGCUCCAAAGUGUUAGAUGUCUCUGAGCUUGACAAACUGCAAGAGAGUAUUGUGAAGACACUUUGUAAUAUGGAAAAAGUUUUUCUUCCAUCGUUUUUUACUGUCAUGGUACAUUUGAUGGUGCAUUUAGUUGAAGAAGCUAAACUUGGUGGCCCGGUGCAUUACAGGUGGAUGUACCCUCUAAAGAGCCCCUUUUUCUACUAGUGAGUGUUGGUGAGCCAAUUGGAAAGGCUGUCACUGUAGGCCAGUUGGACGAUCAGCUUCUAGUUCAAGCACAUCGAUAUGUCUUGCGACACUGUGAUGAGCUUGAUGAUCUCCGUAGAGAAUUUGUGGAUCAAGAGAAGAGGAAGCCGGGUAACAUAAAUUUCACGGAUGAUGACAAUGAGGAUUUGAUUAGUAGACACUUUGCUGACUGGUUGGAACAAAAGGUUAUACUAGAUGAUGGACUGGAUAUUACAGAAAAGAUAAGAGCAUUAGCCGCAAAACCAAGCAAAUGCGGGGUGCGCUAUAGUGGCUAUAUAAUUAAUGGCUUCUAGUUUCAUAAUAUCAGUCACGAGACAGGACACGUGACACAAAAUAGUGGUGUCAUGAACCUUGCUGAAAAUGGUGUCCUAUUAUGGCCGGUUAUCUGACAUCUUCGAAUUGUCAUACAGAGAUUACAAGGUGGUGCUCUUGAAAUGUGAUUGGUAUGAUGUUCAUCACAAAGUUGGUAUUUGAGAGAUGAGUUUGGAUUCACUCAUGUGAACCUUCUCCCGCAAAGUACAUACAUGGGAGAAGUUAGAGGAUGAUCCUUUUGUAUUUUCUUCCCAAGUGGACCAGGUAUUUUAUAUCCAACAUCCGAGAAGUGAGAAUUGGAAUACCAUGGUGAAAUUCGAACCUCGUGAUAUUUUUGACAUGGGUGGAGAACCAUCUUCUGAUGAAACAGAUUAGUCUUUGUGCUUUCAGCUUGUUAUCGGCAACUAAGAUAUAGGUUGAGCACUUGUCAUCCAUGCUCCUAGGUAGAGUUGCUCCAAUAUAACUAUUCCAGCUGGGCGGAUCUUCUUCAGAAUAUAUUGUUCCCUGUGUUACUCUGUAAUGAACGAGUCCAUGGUCUUUUUAAAUGCAUAUUUUCCCUUUUGUUAUGAAUGAA